CCAUGUGUGUGAGAGGCGUCCUCUGGGAGAGCAUGGAUCCUGAGGUCCCAGGAUUGUCAGCUGACCUCUGUCCUGUGUGCCCAGUGGCCCCAGGUGACGUGUCUUCAAGAAGAGGCUGAGCUGCGGUGCUUGUAAGAGUCAUGUGCUGUUCCUGGGGCUUGGAUGAUGUAGGGGAAGCAAGGUGAAAGUGGUAUCCCGUGGUUCCACGUUCUGUCCUGCUGUGGGGCUGUCCCUCACAUGCUUUCAGUGGCUGUUGCAGAGGAAGAGCCUCCGGAAAUCUGCGUGGGUAAAGUGAGCUCCCCGGGGGAACCGUCCUCCUCCCUUGAGCGCUGGUGUGUCCAUAGUGUGCUGUGAUCUGGAUUAGCAGUGAGUUUUUCUUUCAGGGUGUGUGUGUAUGAUGUUAGGACCAUAUGCUCCUGACCUUUUCCAACCCAAAAGCGUUUCCAUUUUUUUAAUGCUGGAAGUGUCUUAACUCCUUUUGGGGUCUUAGAAGGACACACGGUGGCCGUGGCUGGGCCUCUGCUCAGCUGGGCUGCUCUCCCUGCCUCAGGCCCUUGACACCAGCCUCCCUCCCUUGCUGGCUCUCUUUCUGUCCUUCCCUGCUCUUGUAUCCAAAAGUGAUCAUGGGUUGCCUGUGUCCCGAUCAUUAACAGUGCAGGGGUAGGAGUGCUGAAAGACAUCUUCCCUGCGUUGGUCCAGCCUUCCCUUUCAAACCCUGGAGCUUUCCCACGCUGCAGCCUUUUUCCAACUAGGCUUUCAGAGCUUGGGCCUUUGUGGGCCCAUGUGAUGUGGUGACUAGACCCACCCCCUGACUUCUGAGGGUUCAUUUUGUCUUUUCAUGUUAGGGAUCCUCCUGCCAGAAACCAGUCUGCAUUUCUCUCUGGGCCCCACGCUGGAAUGAAUUCAGAUAGCAGUGAAGGGCACACGUGAGAACUGCGAAUCACGGGCUUUGCUUCAUGAAAUGUGAAAUCCACAUUGUUUCCACAGGCACCAUCAGUAAUGUCGAACAAAUGGAGAAAGUUGCAGGUGGGGCUAGGAAAGCUGUAUUCCUGUGGAUUACUCUAGCUGGUCAUUUGCCCCGAUUGUGAACUGCUUGAAAGAAAAACGAAACUUCUAAGAUGUUUGUCCUUUCAUGUCCUUUCUGUUGGGAUUUUUUAUUUGGUGUGCGUGAAUGAGGAGCUUCGCCCUGCUUGAAUGGGACCCCUCUCAGUGGUGUCAGCUUGGGGAGGAGGAGAUGGCCCUGGAGACUAAAUACUUGUAUGCUUUCUUACCCUCUUAGGUCUCAGCCUUAGAUCCAAGGACAGUCCAAGGAAGUCCUAAGACCAUGGAGUUGGUGAUCUGGGAUCUGGGUUUGCUGAUAUUUCUCACCGUGAAUCUCUUGGUGGUGUUUGUGGGCACGAGAGGGGCAGAGAAUGGAGAGUGAGGCUACCACAUGAAGCGUCACCAGAGCUGCUCCCUGCUGCCUGCUCAGAGCACCCCGGAUCCACUGUUCAAUCUGCACAAGAUUCGGGGUCCAGACAUGGGAGACUUCAGCUGCCUCAGAGGACCGUGGACAGGGAAGGCCAGCCUCGCAUCCCUCUGUCCAUGCCUGGAAUGACUUUAAUAACCAAGAGUUUUAUUUUUGAAUUUGUAGCUGUCGUUCACUUUUUACCCACCCAUUCAAUAAACCUUACAGAAUUGCUCCAUGUGCUUCUUAAAUCAGUGACAACCUGUGAGCCUGCCAGGCUGGCUUUGGAGAAGCGUCUCGCUGCUGACUCCCAGGCUGGAAUACUCUGGCGUGAUCUUUGCUCACUGCAACCUCCACCGCCUGGGUUCAAGCGAUUCUCCUGCCUCAGCCUCCUGAGUAACUGGGACUACAGGUGAUGCUGAUGCUGCUGUUCAGAGGACCACAUUUUGAGAACCACUGACCUCACCCCCAAACCAGCUUGGAGAUGAUGCACCCCAUCCCAGUAUAAUAUUUUACUCUUCAUAAUGGGAAACUGUCCUCUACGGAGUGAGAGAAAGCCAUUCACAGAGUGGUGUCUCACUAGAGGCACUCUGCUACAAAAUCGCCAAAGGUGGGGACACUGCGGGAAGCUGCUGGCCUUGUGGUGCUGCUGGCUGCCGUGCACUGCAGGAACUGGGUCCUGGAGUAGCUGCCUGCAUGGUAGGAGGCUGCUGAGCGACCACAUCUGAAUCAGGAAGAGGUGGGCUCCUGGAAAAACUCUUUAAAAGGGAUUAGACUUGUCUAACUUGUCCAUUUUGCUCUUUGAUCUUCUCUUUCUUUCCUCCUGGAACGUGGUCAUGAUGACUGGAGCACAGCAUCCCCCUUGGGAGGAUGAGGAAGAAGGUCACAUUCUCAGGAUGGUGGAGAAAAAAGCUAGAAGGAGACUGGGUACCUGAUGUCCGUGGUGCUGCCCUGUUAGCUCUGGACUGCCUUUCUUCAAAUUCCUUAUUAAGAAAAACAACCUCUGUCUUGACUGAUAUGCUUUUAUUUGUUUUUUUGUUUGUUUGUUUUUUGGUUCCCUGCAGUUGAAUUUAAUUCCCAACUGAUAUAAUUAUGUUUAGUGCAAAGGCUCAACUGGGUAUGAUUGUCAUGAGAUCACUUCAGCCAAUAAACAGAAAUUAUGAUAAUUUUUUUUUUUAAUUUUUUUGCUGUGGUCUCUGUUGCCUAGGCUGGAGUGCAGUGGCGCAAUCAUAGCUCACUGCAGCCUCAAACUCCUGGGCUCAAACCAUCCUCCCACCUCAGCCACACAAAGCACUGGGAUUACAGAUGUGAGCCACCACGCCCAGCCAGAAAUCACUUUUCAUAAUUUACACACAUUGACUUUCUUAGAUGACAGGUAAGUAAUGAUUAUAAAAGCAGCAUUUCUGAGCACUUUUUACCCAAUAUAUUUUUUAAAAGUUUAGUAUCUAACACAUAUACAAAAAUGCACAAAUCAUAUGUUGUACAGCUCAAAGAAUUUUCACAAGGUGGACACAAACAUGUAACCACCCAGAUCAAGAAAUAACAUUACUUGCACCCUGGAAGCACCCCCUCAAUCUCCCAUUCAGUCAGCACUCCUACAAAGGAAACUGCUAACUGACUUUUAAUGACACAGAUUAGUUUUGCCUAUUUUUGAAUGUUACAUAAAUGGCAUCGUAUAGCAUGUGGUCUUUUGUGUCUGGCCUCUGUCAACAUUAUGUUUGUGAAUUCCUUCAUGUUAUUGUCCUGGGAAGACACAGGCCAAGCUCAAAUCCAGAGGAGCAGCUGGAGGGAAAUGGUGCAUGUGAAAUGAACAGGCAUUACUUUUCACUGGUGCAUGCUGGGAGGAGGUGAUCCAUGGCCAGGUUGUGUAGCUGCCAGCCCAUCACAUUCAUCAGGAAGCUCAUCUGCAACUCCGAUACACAGAGUCAAGGCUCUGGGGUCAGAAGGACAGCUGAGAUUCUCUAGACAAUAAGUAUCAUUUGGACUCACAAACCUCUUGAAUCAUUGUAAUGAUCCUCUGGCACUUUGCAGAAAAUAAGUUCUACCCUCUGUACAUAAAAAGGUGUGUUCGGCCAGGCAUGGUGGCUCAUGCUGGUAAUCCCAGCACUUUGGGAGGCCGAGGCGGGCAGAUCACUGGAGGUCAAGAGUUCGAGACCAGCCUGGCCAACGUGGCAAAACCCAUUCUCUACUAAAAAUACGAAAAUUAGCUGGUUGUGGUGGCGUGUGCCUGUAAUCCCAGCUACUCGGGAGGCUGAGGCAGGAGAAUCGCCUGAACCCGGGAGGCAGAGGUUGCAGUGAGCUGAGAUCGCACCACUGCACUCCAGCCUGAGUGACAGAGUGAGACUCCAUCUCAAAAAAAAGGAAAAAGAAGAAAAAGAAAAGAUGUGUUCAACUCAAUAUGGACCAGCCCU
rnacentral:lncRNA from 1 species